rnacentral:rRNA from 1 species
ACGAGAUAAACGCUGAAAGCAUCUAAGUGUGAAACUCGCCUCGAGAUGAGAUUUCCCAUUUCCUUCGGGAAAGUAAGACCCCUCAGAGAUGAUGAGGUAGAUAGGAUGGAAGUGGAAGUGCCGUGAGGCGUGGAGCGGACCAUUACUAAUCGGUCGAGGACUUAACCAAG